AUUGAACGCUGGCGGCAGGCCUAACACAUGCAAGUCGAACGAGUGGCGGACGGGUGAGUAAUGUCUGGGCACGUGAGUGAUGGAGCGGGAUAACUACUGGAAACGGUAGCUACUACCGCAUAACAUACGAUGUGCCCAGGUGGGAUUAGCUUGUUGGUGGGGUAACGGCUCACCAAGGCGACGAUCCCUAGCUGGUCUGAGAGGAUGACCAGCCACACUGGAACUGAGACACGGUCCAGACUCCUACGGGAGGCAGCAGUGGGGAAUAUUGGACAAUGGGCGAAAGCCUGAUGCAGCCAUGCCGCGUGUAUGAAGAAGGCCUUCGGGUUGUAAAGUACUUUCAGCGGGGAGGCGUUACCCGCAGAAGAAGCACCGGCUAACUCCGUGCCAGCAGCCGCGGUAAUAC
rnacentral:rRNA from 1 species